UACGUAGGUGGCAAGCGUUGUCCGGAUUUAUUGGGCGUAAAGCGAACGCAGGCGGUUUCUUAAGUCUGAUGUGAAAGCCCCCGGCUCAACCGGGGAGGGUCAUUGGAAACUGGGAGACUUGAGUGCAGAAGAGGAGAGUGGAAUUCCAUGUGUAGCGGUGAAAUGCGUAGAUAUAUGGAGGAACACCAGUGGCGAAGGCGGCUCUCUGGUCUGUAACUGACGCUGAGGCUCGAAAGCGUGGGGAGCAAACAGG
rnacentral:rRNA from 1 species